GUUUUCUUUGGCACACCUACUCUGUACUUGGAAUGAUUUCAGAGAAGAUUUAGCAUGACCUCUACACUAGGAUGACAUGCAAAUUCCUUGAAUGAUCCAUGUUUCU